AUUAACAGGGAACUAUACCUUAAAGGCAACAGAUCCCAUCUGAUCUCAAAAGCUAAGCAAGGUCAGCCCUGGUUAGUAUCAGGAUGGGUAUUGCCAACAAAUUCCAAGUAUUGUAGACU
rnacentral:rRNA from 11 species